AGUUGGUGAAAACAAACGUAGCUUCUAAUAUACCAUUUUUUUUAAUUUUUUUUUUGACAGAAUCUGAAGAAACAGGUAGCCAACACAAUACCGAUGAAAUACAGGAAGCCAUUUUGUGGUACAACAUAUUUCUAGGUUUUGCAAAUUGAUGGUGUAAAAUUCACAUUAAUAUUUCUUUAAAAAAUCCCAAUGAGGAAUUCUUCUUCACCAUGCAUCAUGAGGAUGAUACUUACACAUUGUUAGAUUUUGUUCUACUUUUAAAUGACAUCAAGGAGUUGAUUAAUGAGUUGAACAGAACCAAUUGUUUGUUUCAAAUUUGUUAGAAGCAUGAGGCAGAAGUUUCAAGAAGCUAUAGCACAAGGGUUUUUUUUCCCCUGUCAACAAAUCUUCCUCAAGUCUCUUCCACAAUUUCUUUGUCUGCACCGGUUGUGUCAAUUUCAACCUACAGAAGUGAAUCUCCGGCCAAGGAAUCUGAGAACCAAGUUCAACAUGGGGAAGUUGAUAGACAUUACAAGAAGCUUAACAAUGGAAAGGGGAGUAAAGCAGCAGUGCUUUCUCUGGAAUCUGCAUUUUUUCUUUGUCGGUCUCCUUGUUUUUAAGCCUAAAAAAUGAGAUUGGACUUGAGGCUGCUGUGACACAUAAUUUUGAAUAAAUGUGAAUCACGUUCCCCAUCCCUCUCAGCAAGUUGUAAUAUAUGACUCAAGAUGCUUGCCAGCUGAUCCAUAGGACAGGAAAGAAGUGAAACUGAUUGAAAGAGGUCAGUGGAGUUUUGUAACUGAACAAGACAUGACAGUAUCACCUUGUUGCUUGGUUGGCUUCACUUUUGUGUACUUUUUAUUAAAAUGAAGUAACGGCUAAUGGUAUGAAAUUAAGGAUGAUAAUCCCACGGAUCUAUAUUACUGAAUGUCCAUAUUUCCGAAUAUUGAUUUAUAUUUUUUGGAUUUUAUGUCACAUACUUGUCUUGGAAUAAUAUAAAAAGCUGUAGCUUACAGAUAGUAUUUAUUGGGAAUCUCUUGUUUGUAUGAUGCGAUCAUGGUUUUGGCAUAUAAAUUAUUACUUUAUCUUUCAUGCAAGACUUUGGAAUAUUCGCUUACAUCUUUAUUUUAUCAGUUGG